CCUAGUGGGAAAGGAAUGAUUUCUUUUAAGUAAUAAAAAUCAAAAAUUGAAGACAAUAGUUAUUUUGGGGAUAGGCAUGAUCAUUUUUAUUCCUUUAUAUCUAUUUAAAUAAAGAGAAAUUAAGAGAAAAUAAAUGGAAAAAGGAAACUUACCUUAUUGUGUUGGGGAGGCUUUAUGAGAGGAUUAUGAUAAAGGGGAAAUGAAAGAGGAGAAGAGCCAUUUGCUCUUGUGUGGCUGCCGUGACCUAGAGAGAGAGAGAGAGAGUGGCGUGUAGAGAGAGAGAGAGAGAGAGAGAGAGGAAGAAAGAAAGAAGGAAGGAGAAGGUGAAGAGGAACCCCUCUUAGAGCUUGAACAAGGGUGUGGAGUUUGGGUAUUGAUCUUAUUGUGUUCUUGAUUUUACAAUCAAGAGAGGCUCGUUGAAAGAUUGUGAAAUUCUUAGCUUGGACCUGAGGUAAGGAAGUUAGAUAGAUUCUAUGAUUUUAU